AUGGUUAUCUCUUGUGUUGCAUUUGGUUGUCAUAAUAAGUACAAAGGUGCUUCAAUGUACUUACUAAAAAUCUAGAAAUUCGUAAGAAAUGGAUACAAGCUUGUCGUAAAAACGAUAUAUACCUAGUUCAAAUGCAGUCAUAUGCUCAGAUCAUUUCUUGCCAAAUGAUUACAUCCAGAAACCCGGACAACGUAAUUAAUAAGUUAAAAAACGUCGUCAGUGCCUAGCCAAUUUUCAACUAUUUGUAAAUAUCAAAGAGGAAGAAAGCGUCGUCUGGUUGGUAUGAAAAGUUAUUAGAAACUUCUUGUGGCAUAUUUCUACAUCAAAGGGCUUGAAUCAGAUAUUCUUGCUGGAAUAAUCCGUGAAAUAAUUACAUUCAGUUAUGAGGCAGGUGUAAUGGUAAGAUCUAUGUGCAUGGAUGGCACUAAAUACAAAUUAUCUGCACUUAAUACCCUUGGCUGCAAUCUUCAUCCCAAGAAACUCGAAAACAUGUACACUACUUUUAGCAAUCCCUCUGGCCCAGGAUCAACUGCCGUUGCAAUGUGAUCCGUCUCAUAUGGCAAAAAAUGUACGAAAUCUUUUAGGGGAUUAUAAAGAAAUUAAUUGGCCUAAUAGAGGAAUGAUUAGAUGGUCUUAUAUUGAAAAUAUGUACAAGCUUCAAGCUAAACAAGAUAUUCGACUUCGGAAUAGACUGAUAGAACAUCAUGCUCUACAUUUUAAACAGCUGUUCCCGAUUCGGUAAAAAAUAUAAUGGUGCAUUGUCACCUAAUAAUAUUUAUUUGCCUGAGGAGAUAUUUGAGCAAUUUAUCAAAAUGUACAUGGUUCUAGAGUGAAAUGAUGGAGUAAAAAUCAUUGAUUCUAGACUGGUCCUUCAGGGUUCAUAGCCUGCAUCUUUUCCUUCAGGCACCUCAUUCCUCUCAUUAAGUCUGGCGAAAUUAAUUAAAAAUAUAUAUGCUGUCAUAAGCUUCAGCAAGAUCAUAUUGAGCAUCUGUUUGCAGUGAUCAGACAAAGAAAUGGAUAGUGCUACAAUCCAAGGCGGUAGCAAUUUCGGUUUGCAUUUUGUUAUUUUUUUAAUGAAUUAGUUAUUUAUAUAUUACUACUUAUCAUUUUUGAAUACAAGUACAAAAACAUCCCUCUCAAUCUAAUAAAAUAUUUCAUCAUUACAGAAAGAUACUAUCCCUAUUCAGAUGGCCAAGAAGUCGAAAUAAAUAUAGACGAAAAUUAUAAUUCACCUACAAUAUAAAUAAUUUCUAUCGACAGUGACACCAACGAUAAAAAGCUAUAAUUGCGGAUAACUCAUAUGCGUUCUCGUCAGACAUAUAUUAAGCAAAUGUUCAUGGUUUCAAAUCUGUAUUAAAAGAAAAAAAUAAAUUGGAGGAAAAAUUACUAAAGAAGAUUCGUCAACUAAAUCAGAAAAGGCAACUAUAAAAUUGAAUAAAGUUCUUGAAGUCAAAAGGGAAACGGAUUUUAUCUUCAGCAAAAAUAUUAGCAUACUUGAAGAUGAAUUGCAAUAAUAAAUCCUCCACAGCUAGUUAGGCCCAUUCAUCAAGCUGUGAUUACUACCGAGUCUUAAAAACAUGUAUCUCUUUAAGUUUAUUAAAUAAUUAUUGGUAAGCGACUUCCCAAAUAGAUGGCGGUUUGAUAUCAUAGUAACUUCAGUAAAUUAAUUACCUUCAAUUGGAGUUCACGAUGAGAAUCUAUAUGUAAGUGUAAAUUAUAUCUUUGCUGGAAAAUAAGUCAUCUUCAAAAUUACAAAUGGGGUGUAACGGAUCAAAUAAAAGUUAUGAUGGAUUUAAAACCAUUUAUUUAUCUAGUAACUCGUAAAGUUCCCAUUUAAACUUUUAAUGAGACGUACAUCAAUUUCAAUCUAACAUUAGUCCUUCAUUUUUAUUACUGCAUAGCAUGAAAGUCUUUCGUCUUAAUUUUUAACCUCGCUUUUUUUUUUAAUAUUUCUCAUUUAUUCUCUGGAGAGCGUAGGAAGAUAUUCAUAUACUCGACUGGAUGAGUACUUUCAUAUUGCACAGUUAUAAAGAUUGAAUGUUCUAAUGUUUAUUAAAAUACUUCACAUGAACAGAUUUGGAAAAACUUUACAUGAUAAAAAAAUGCAAUAACGUCAAUUAUACCUUUUCUUUGAUCAAUUACAGGGUUUGAUUUCAUAGUGUUUGAUAAAUAUCACUGAAGUCUACUAUUACAUAUGAAGAUACAUAUUCAAAUGUCAUUAGAUAAUUUUCAUAUUAUGAAAAUACACUCAAAAAUUUAUCAAGGAAUGUAUGAAUGACUUGUUAAUAAUGUCUAAUGAUAAUUCAUAACGGAUAAUUAAGUAAUUAGUACUUCUUCCAACGAAUUACUGUAGUGUUUGUUUAUUUUUCUUUUAUCAUAUAUUUAUUAAUAUUACUUAUUUUGUCUCUGGUUCGAACAAAUUAGUCAUUACUCAUUACAUAAGUGAGAUUAUUAUUUACAUUAAAUAAAACCUAUACGAAUUUUCCCAAUGCGAGUAAUCCUAUUACAAACUUUCCCUAUACAAAUUUUCCGUAUGCGAGCUUUCCUAGAUCC
rnacentral:lncRNA from 1 species